rnacentral:tRNA from 1 species
CACUGAGAAGCUUUGAACAAGCACUAGCCUUUUAAGCUAGAGAAGGGAAAUUAACUACCCCUCAAUGA